rnacentral:rRNA from 1 species
UGCCCCCCAAAUAGGGGCCAGUAUGAAUGGCUAACUGAGGGCACAACUGUCUCCUAAGACCAAUCUAUGAAACUGAUCUCCCAGUACAAAAGCUGUGAUAUACACAUAAGACGAGAAGACCCUGUGGAGCUUUAAAUACUGCCGCUAACCACAAAAACACGCCCUAAGGGGCACGCAACAAUACGAAAUAGCGACCAUUUUAAGUUGGGGCGACUGCGGAGAAAAACUAAACCUCCAUGAAAAAGGCUAACCCCCCCCACAGACCAACAAGUCACAGGGCACCCUCCCCCAUGACCCAGAAAAACUGAUCAACGAACCAAGUUACCCCAGGGAUAACAGCGCUAUCCCCCUCAAGAGUCCAUAUCGCCAGGGGGGCUUACGACCUCGAUGUUGGAUCAGGACACCCCAGUGGUGCAACAGCUACUAAAGGUCCGUUUGUUCAACGGUCAAUGU